UGCAUCUUGCAUUACCUCUCUGAAAGCGUGACCCGCAACCCAGUGGGGAAUACUACCAAUCUCCGUGCAAAACUGUAGAACACUGGAACGUUCCCCAUUUAAGGCAAGAACUUCAAAGCAGUUGGACCUGGAACAAACGGGAAAACAGGACGCUCCUGUGAGAGUAUUUCUUCUAAAACAGAUGGGAGCCAGGAGAGCCAAUCCUUCACCGUUGUUUUUAAAGAAUCCAU